rnacentral:lncRNA from 1 species
ACGCGGGUGUUCUGUUAAGGUAUAUUCCGUUAACUGCUAAACGGAUGACUGGCAUUGUUUCACGAGGUGGGUCGAUUCAUGCAAAAUGGUGUUUGGCUUAUCAUAAGGAGAAUUUUGCUUAUGAACAUUGGGAGGACAUUCUUGAUAUUUGUAAUCAGUAUGAUAUUGCUUUGUCUAUUGGUGAUGGGUUGAGGCCUGGAUCCAUUUAUGAUGCUAAUGAUACUGCUCAGUUUGCUGAGUUAUUGACUCAAGGUGAGUUGACUCGAAAAGCUUGGGCGAAGGAUGUACAGGUAUGUUGAAAAGAAAAGGGAUAGGAUCAUGUUAAAGUUUUCAUCUUCUUGCAUACUUACAUAAUAACUUAUCUCGAAUAUUACAGGUGAUGAACGAAGGACCCGGACAUAUCCCAAUGCACAAAAUCCCUGAAAACAUGCAAAAACAAUUAGAAUGGUGCAACGAAGCCCCAUUCUACACACUCGGCCCAUUAACCACCGACAUCGCCCCAGGCUACGACCACAUCACCUCCGCCAUCGGCGCCGCCAACAUCGGAGCCCUAGGAACCGCC